rnacentral:rRNA from 1 species
UAGGGAAUAUUGGACAAUGGGCGAAAGCCUGAUCCAGCCAUGCCGCGUGAGUGAUGAAGGCCCUAGGGUUGUAAAGCUCUUUCGGCGGGGAAGAUAAUGACGGUACCCGCAGAAGAAGCCCCGGCUAACUUCGUGCCAGCAGCCGCGGUAAUACGAAGGGGGCUAGCGUUGUUCGGAAUCACUGGGCGUAAAGCGCGCGUAGGCGGAUUGUUAAGUCAGGGGUGAAAUGCCGAGGCUCAACCUCGGAACUGCCUUUGAUACUGGCAAUCUUGAGUCCGGGAGAGGUGAGUGGAACUCCUAGUGUAGAGGUGAAAUUCGUAGAUAUUAGGAAGAACACCAGUGGCGAAGGCGGCUCACUGGCCCGGAACUGACGCUGAUGUGCGAAAGCGUGGGGAGCAAACAGGAUUAGAUACCCCUGUAGUCC